rnacentral:tRNA from 1 species
AAUGAAGUGCCUGAUUAAAGGAUUACCUUGAUAGGGUAAAUCAAGUAGCUUUAGUUACCUUCAUUA